GGUCACUGUAAAAAUACAAUACAAUAUGGUUAGCAAUAAUCUCAUAUUUAUAAUUGUGAUCAAACAGACUUUAGGUGUAACUCAUGGAUGUCCGUUUUUAAUCUGUAAUACACCAAUCACUGGUGAUGUUGCACAACAAGCUCUAACUUCAUUGGAGGAGGAAUCUGAGCUUGGUGUCAUUUUAAUUGCAUUGCUUAAAACAUCUGAUGUUAAUUGACUACAAUGCUCUCUGCAAAACCAUAUGCAGCACCAGAAGAUAAUGAUGUUUGGUUCACUGCCUGCUUUCCCGCUUUACCUAUGGUCAUUACACACGAGUCCGUUGGUUUGGUGGGAGAGAACAGAGUGCUUCAGUAGUUGUGCACCUGAGGCUGUCAGGAUUUCCUCAGCCAUCUUCCUACGUAGUGCCUCCAUAUUGGUCACAGAAGUAUUGAUGUCCAACUGGGAUGGAACUUUUGGGAAACUAGAGACAACCUCCUUUGCCCUUU